UUCAGCGGCUCUGUCCACUCUUUAUACAGUCAAUGUCAAGGUCAAGGUCCAGAUGACACACUGAGUUUGUCUGCAGACUGUUUUACUCCUUCAUUCUCUCUCAGGUCUCAGAAGCUCCGGCUGAGCUCUCCUUCUCUGUUUCAGUGCGACUCGUGUUUCUAGAAGUCUACAGUAACGACCCGAGUGAGCCGCAGCCUCUGGACGCAUGUGAGGGCGACGUGGUUGAGACUCUCUCCUCGUGUUGCUUUCAUUUUGAAAGGUGUGCAGUAAGGAUGAAAACUUGAUCCUGACUGUGAGAGACAGCUGCUGUGUGUGAACACCUGUGCAGUUGUCUGCAGUUUUCCCGGCUGAUUAAACAUUUUCAGCUGUGAGACCUGAAUGAAAUUCUUCCGAUGCCUCCGUGUUUGUUGGUUGAUGGAGGGAGACAGAUUACACCCUCGACGGCUCAUGAGACUAAAUGAGACACCAACAGACUGAACUCAAAGGCAUCCUGAAACAUUCUGUCCUCCGUCCUGUGAGCCGGGACACCACAGCGUGUUGUGCAGCGUCACGGCGGGGGCGUGUCCGGGGUCACCUGAGGUCGGCUCGCAACCCAGCAAACAUUUAUAGAGCGAAUCAAACAUCAGGGGAAAUCGUUCCUGAGCGCAGGCUGCAUGCAGGAUCAUGUUUAUCAGCCGGUCUCCCACAACCGCCUCACCAACCUCAGGACAAACAGACAGUGAGGGGCGUGUCAGCUGACUGCCAGGGUUUACCUGUCUCACCUGCCCGGGCUGCAGCCUGCCGAUCAUAAACACGUUAAGCUGAUGAUGAAUUUAACGUCUGAGCGUCUGAAGGUGAUGAAGCUCAACAAAGUCAGUCUGACGAGUCAGAACUAAACCGUCAUUCUUUUGUUUUUGCUCACAUCCUUUCUGUUAUUCAUAGACUUUAGUGUUGGUGGUUUUAAACUGUGUUUUUGGGGCGAAAUUAAUCCAAAUAAAUAU